CCAAAAGCGAUGAAGGUGCAUAGUAGACGUUUAUUUUCCAUCAGAGAGGGGAGGCCACCGGCUGAAAGCCUGCCCGGGUUCAGAUAGACGGUUGAAAUUCCCACCGGAGCUGUACAGGCAAAAGGAUGCUUUUACCAAUCAGUGAAAGGAUUCCGGUAGUCUGUGACGCAGGCACACGUUACGUGCAUCAAGUGUCUGUACAUUCCGGGUGUAGAUUCCGGGGUGAUACAGGAAGCAGGGUGGUACCGCGAGUUUACAGUCUCGUCCCUUCA
rfam:Clostridium bolteae CAG:59 genomic scaffold, scf166